rnacentral:lncRNA from 1 species
GACUUCAUAUUCUUGUUUAGGGGGUCAAAUUGAGUGGGAAAUGGGUCUAACCCAAAUUUUAGAGCAACCGUAUCAAAAUCCGAAAUUUCCAAGUGAAGCCUUUUUCGAGGGUCUACUUUGGAGGGUCAUAUCUCCUAGCACACAAAUUAUUUGGGUGGCCAAUAAUAUAUCCAUGGAAAGCCCUUUGAGUUAGCUACCUAAAUCACUUCGUUUCACCUCAUUCGGAGUUCGGACGAAGAAGUUAUGCCCAUUUUCGUAAAGUCUGUCCGGCAGAAAAUGCAA